AAAUAAUAUUUUACCAAAUAUUCUCUUCUCACUCUCCUCAAAUUACAACCGCCCAUUCUUGAAUCUUGAUUCUUCCCCUAUUAACUGUGUCAUAUUGACCACCACCACCUAUAUGCCUGUCGCCGAUAUUAGACUCUGCUUCUUCUUACGUUCCAGCUUUUUGGAUCAUCAAUUUUCUUUCGUAUGUAGUUGUGUUAAAGCAAGUAAAGAAUUUCAUUCUGUUGCUCAAUCAUGGUAGGAUUUGAAGUGCUUGAAGACUCGACUUAUUUUUGUUUAAGCAAUGCCUGGCCUAAACAAUAAGUUUGAGGGUAAUGUUUGGCAACUGUUCAGAAUAGGGAACUUUUGCUGCUGUAUCAGAAGUAAAAUGGUACUUCUGAACUUUUAAUACUGAAUGAUGAUUUAUUUAUUUAUAUAUAAUUUUAGUGUAUUUGUUUUUUGUACUUCCUGGUAAGUUGUUUCAUGAGUAAAGUUACUACCUUGCUUUGCUUUUGAAA